CGCUCGGAGAUAUUCAAAUCAGCAGCGCGGCAGUUGUUUCCGACACCAACUCCAGGCCACAGAGGUUCCUGCUACCGCGCACUUUCCGCAGCCUCUCAGCCCGGCAAUGAUAGCAUGGAGCGUCAGGGUGCUCCUCUUGGACCUUACCGGGCCACCAAGCUGUGGAAUGAAGUAACCACAUCUUUUCGAGUAGGAAUGCCUUUAAGAAAACAUAGACAACAUUUAAAAAAAUAUAGCAAUUGUUUCACUGCAGUUGAAGCUAUAGAUUGGCUUUAUGAUCUGUUAAGAAGUAAUAGUAAUUUUGGUCCUGAAGUUACAAGACAACAGACUAUUCAACUAUUGAGAAAAUUUCUUAAGAAUCAUGUGAUUGAAGAUAUCAAAGGUAGAUGGGGAUCGGAAAGCCUUGAUGACAACAAUCAACUAUUCAGAUUUCCUGCAACUUCUCCACUUAAAACUUUUCCACAAAGACAUACAGAAAUCAAGAAAACCAACACAGAGUACUUUUCCAAAGACAAAGAUGGUAUUUUUAAAUUACGAAACUUAUCUCAAAAAACUUCUAAGAAGCGUGGAUUACAUUUCUCUCAGGAAAAUACAGAAAAGAUAAAUCAUGAAAGAAUAACCAAUGAAGAUCUAGAAAUUGCACCUGACAACCAAGAAAUAAGCCAGGAAGAUGUUGAAGAAGUUUGGAGAUACGUUAUUAUGAUAUACCUGCAAACCAUUUUAAGUUUGCCAUCCAUAGAAGAACUCUUAAACCCAAACCAAGUAAUUCCUCAAUAUAUAAUGUACAACAUGGCCAACACAAGUAAGCAUGGAGUGGUCAUACUACAAGACAAAUCAGACGAUCUUCCACAUUGGGUUUUAUCUGCAAUGAAGUGCCUAGCAAAUUGGCCAAGAAGUAAUGACACCAAUAAUCUAACUUAUGUUGGAUUUGAACGUGAUGUAUUCAAAACAAUUGCAGAUUAUUUUCUAAAUCUCCCUGAACCUCUACUUACAUUUGAAUAUUAUGAAUUAUUUGUGAACAUUUUGGUUGUUUGUGGCUACAUCACAGUUUCAGAUAGAACAAGUGGAAUACAUAAAAUACAAGAUGAUCCACGAUCUUCAAAAAUCCAUGAUUUAAGCAAUUUGAAUUCCUUCAAAUCAACUGAGUGUCUUCUUCUCAGUCUGCUUUACAAAGACAAAAGCAAUGAAGAGUUGGAUUCUACUAAAAGACUACAAAGAAAUGAUCAAGGAUUUCAAGAAAGAUGUGCCAAGAAAAUGCAGCUAGAUAAUUUAAGAAACAGAAGAGCUAGUGCUAAUGACAUAAUGGGAGGAAGCUGUCAUAAUUUAAUAGGCUUAAGUAAUACAAAUGCCCUGUCCUCUAACAUCAAACCAAGGUGCUCUUCUUUGGAAGGAAUUGUAGAUAGGCCAGUGAAUUCAAGUGAAAAGAAGUCCAGUAUCUUCUACCAGUCUGUUCUGAACAUAGAAGAACAAAAUAGUAAGCAAUCGUUAGUGUCUGCACCCAAACAGACACCCCUAUUUAAUCUUCACUCAGAUGAAAAUGCUCAGCAGCCACACUGUGUUGGUUUUAACAGAACCUCUGCUUUGACUGUUCAAGACCAAGAAGAGUUAUGUAAUGAAAAGUAUAAGUCAAAACAGCUUUGUAGAUCUCAGAGUUUACUUUUAAGAAGUAGUACAAGACAGAAUAGUUGUAUCAAUAAACCAGUGGCUGAAAUUAUAAUGAAACCAAAUGUUGGACAAGGGAGUACAAGUGAGCUCGGAGAGUCUAGUACCACAAUCAAUAAAAGACUGUGCAAAAGCACCAUAGAACUUUCAGAGAAAUCUUUACCUCCAGCUGCUUCUGUGUUGACUGGCACACAAAGUUUGCUGCAACCUCACUUAGAGAGGGUUGCCAUCAAUGCUCUACAGUUAUGUUGUUUGUUACUUCCCCCACCAAAUCGUAGAAAGCUUCAACUCUUAAUGCGCAUGAUUUCUAGAAUGAGUCAAAAUGUUGAUAUGCCCAAACUUCAUGAACAAAUAGGUACAAGAUCAUUGAUAUGGACUAGAUGACUAUGAGAGUAAUGAGUUUUGAGGCAAAAAUUUUUCCAGAGUUUCAAACUUCUUAUGAUGGAAAUAGAGAUGUGUGCAUUAACUCACUGCCUAAACACUAAUUAUCCACUUUCCAGAGUUUCAAAAGAUGAUAAAUACUUUUUCUCGAUGUGUACUAUGUUGUGCUGAAGAAGUGGAUCUUGAUGAGCUUCUGGCUUCAAGAUUAGUUUCUUUCCUAAUGGAUCAUCAUCAGGAAAUUCUUCAAGUACCCACUUAUUUACAAGCUGCAGUGGAGAAACAUCUUGACUACAUUAAAAAGGGCAAUGUUAAAAAUCAUGGAGAUGGACUAGUUGUUCCUUUGCCAACAUAUUCUUACUGUAAACAGAUUAGUGCUAAAGAAUUUGAUGAACAGAAAAUUUCAACUUCCCAAGCUGCAAUUGCAGAACUUUUGGAGAAUAUUGUCAGAAGUAAAAGCUUGUCUCUAAAGGAGAAAAGAAGAAAAUUGAAACAGUUUCAGAAGGAAUACCCCUUGAUAUAUCAGAAAAGAUUUCCAACCACUGAGAGUGAAGCAGCACUUUUUGAUGAUAAACCUACAAUCAAGCAACCGAUGCUGAAUUUAAGAAACCCCAAGCUUCACAGUCUGCGUUACUGACUUAAAACUUCAACAAAUGAAGCCGUACAUGAGACUAUUUCUACUUAAAAGAACACUGUUGAUAUUAUAGGUUCCCUUCAAAGGACAUUAUACAAGGAGGUGACAAAACAGUCUUUAUCUGUGCGAGGCUGCUAAAGCUACUGGAUCUGCCCUAAGUGCCUAACGAAAGGUGAUACCAAAUAUUUUAAUCAGAAACUAUUUUUUAAUAUAAUGAUCUGGUAAGACUAUCAGAAUUGUACCAUCCAGAUAAAAUUGUGGUGCUUUUAAAGAAGAAAACACGUCUGUGUCUAUAUGUAUAUUAGCUAAAGAACUGGUUGUUUAAGAUUGCUUCUUUAUUUAUAAGUAUCAGAUCAUGAAAAAUAUUGUACACUUUUAUAUAAUCUUUUUACACUUAUGGUCUAUUUAACUUUAUAUAAACACACUUGUAGUUUAGCUUUUUUAAUUGGACUUUGGUUUAUUGGGGGGCAAAAGGAGGUAGUUUUUGAGAUAAAGUCUCUCUAUGUAACCUAUUCUAACCUCAAACUCAUAUUCCUCCUGCCUUAUUCUCUUGAGUAGUUGGAAUAUAUAUGUAUGUGCCACCAUUCCUGGCUUAUAUGUGUGUUUUAAAGAUAUGUUUCUGUGAGAUUUUUGUUUUCCCCUAAACAUUUUCUUAAUUAUUUCAGUCUUUUUUCCAGAAAUAUAUUUUGAAUCCUUACAUUCAUUAUCUAUCCUAAUACUGAAAUAGAUAUAUAAUUGUUAUUUAACAACAGAAAUUUGUCUUUCAUUGUUUCUUAAAUGUAAAGACCAUGAUGAAUAAAGCAAAAAUUCCUGUCUUAAGACAUUUAUUUUUUUCAAUCAAGGAAACUAAAUUUUUCAGGCCUGUAAAAUAAUGAUAUACUUGCUGACAUCAAGAUAUAGCGAUUCCUUCAGCUGAA